GACGUUAAACGUUGGAUCACUCGGCUCGUGCGUCGAUGAAGAGCGCGGCCUGACCAUUGACGUCUCGAACGCACAUGGCGGCAGCGGGUCCUCCCGCGGCCACGUUCGUCCGAGGGCCG
rnacentral:rRNA from 1 species